CUUUUUUGUUGUUGUUGCAGAAAACUACUUGAAUUGGCGAAAUCGCAGUUGCACAAAGUUGUUUUGCACGGUCUUUCGCAGUGAUGUUUGUUGGUAAAUGGGACCUUUUGUUGAGAAAUGUUCGACACACGUGAAUGGAAGAGGCUGGACGCGUGUUGUGAUGACAUCACGUGAAAAAUGGCAAGCUCCUCUGAAUAGUGCUGAGUUUUGCUCGAUUUUGCGUUCAUUUCUGCGUUGACAAAAGAGAAAGCCUAGACGGAUUGAGUAAUACGCAGUAGACACUCAUCCCGCUCCCGCUUGAGUCCUUGAGGUUUUCAAAAAGUAUCAAAAUCUUUAGAAUGAUCUCCUUAAUUCUAAGGUGGGAUAGCGCUACCUUUGCAGAUUCAGUAACCAUGAGCACGGACGCAGCGACGGAUCGCAAACGGGCGGGCAUACCUUAAACUACAUGUUCUAGAGUUUUCAAGAGAUGAUAGCUACCACCUUCCCUGUAGCUAGAUAUCUUCCCUGUGGAAAAUAAUAGCGCUGCGUUUCUUCCUGUAAUGUCUGAAAGGUCGGAGACACUUGUAGAAGGAUCUUGGGCCACUCUUCCAUGCAGAAUAUUUAAAACUCUUUUUUCCUGAGGGGCAGUGGUGGCUUAAGGCUCUGGGUUACUGAUCAGAAGGUCGGGGGUUCGAGCCCCAGCACUGCGGAGCUGCCACUGUUGGGCCUUGAGCAAGGUACAUAACCCUCUCUGCUCCAGGGGGCGCUGUAUCAUGGUUGACCUGCGCUCUGACCACACCUUCCUGACAUGCUGGGGUAUGCGAAGAAAACAAUUUCACUGUGCUGUAAUGUAUACGUGACCAAUAAAGACUCAUUAUCAUAUUCUUCAGUUUAUGCACGUGGACUUCCUCCUUCAGUUUUCAGUGGGGUUCAAAUCUAGAAAAUGAUGGCUAAAGUCUGAACUUCCUGACAGAGGCAAUAAGGUUUUGGACCGAAGUUUCCUAAAACAGCCCCAAAGUAUCAAAGCUCCACCUCCAUAUUUUACAAUGAUGUAUCGGGUGUUUAUCCUUGUUGUCAAACAUGCUGAUGUGCAUAACCAACAGGUUUGAUUUUAUUCUCAUGUGACCACAACACGAUGCUAACUGUAGUUCUAACGAUGCUUUGUGAAGUUCGGACGCUGAUGAUUUUUCUGAGCUUCUCUCAGGACGGGGCUUGUUCUUUUGAUAACGAUAAAGAGUUUAACAGUUGAAGUAGAUGAAUUACACUGGCAUCAUUCUAAAAGCGUGAACUUUAGGAUCUUUUCACAGUACAGCGCCAGCAUAUAAUACAGUAUAUUUUCUAAACACACCCAUACUUCUAUCCCACAGUGGACUGGCUUACUGCCCGGUAUUGUAGAGUGUAUUGCCCGGCGCUGUUUGGCACUGUCCUGCACUAGUAUUUACAGUAUUGUGUUCACAACAUUUAUCUCGCUAGACAGAGCAGUGAAGGAGCUUUUCAUUAUGCUGCACUGCUAUAAUAACGAUAAAGUUGAAUAGAUUUGAAUGUAACUGAAAUUUCUCCCAUACUUUAACAUCUUCCUUACUGUAAUGUGGGACACUGUGCUUGUGGGUCCGAUUUCUACCAAAUUUCAGAGAACGUGAAAUAUUUUGCUAAAGGCCUUAAUUGUGCAGAACCACUUAUGUAUUUUUAUACAUAUUACCUGAUUUGUGCAGAUAGAACGAGAUUUUACAUGCAGGUGUGUAUUUAAACCCCAGGUAAACAGGUCAUCGUUACAUGCGUGUAUUUAAACCCCAGGUAAACAGGUCAUCGUUACAUGCGUGUAUUUAAACCCCAGGUAAACAGGUCAUGGUUACAUGCAUGUAUUUAAACCCCAGGUAAACAGGACAUGGUUAAAGGCAAUAACAGAGUUCUGGGAGAAUGAGAGCAAAUCAAAAAUAACCUUUUUUUC
ensembl:lncRNA